AGAGUUGAUCCUGGCUCAGAAUGAACGCUAGCGGCGUGCUUAACACAUGCAAGUCGCACGAGAACACCUCAGCUUGCUGGGGUAAGUAAAGUGGCGCACGGGUGAGUAACGCGUGGGUAAUCUGCCCCUGAAUCUGGGAUAACGCUGCGAAAGCGGUGCUAAUACCGGAUGACAUCGAAUUGACUUCGGUUGAUUGGAUCAAAGGUAGCCACUCCAUGGAAGCUACUGUUUGGGGAUGAGCCCGCGUACCAUUAGCUUGUUGGUAGGGUAACGGCCUACCAAGGCGACGAUGGUUAGCUGGUCUGAGAGGAUGAUCAGCCACACUGGAACUGGAACACGGUCCAGACUCCUACGGGAGGCAGCAGUGAGGAAUUUUGCGCAAUGAGGGAAACCUUGACGCAGCAACGCCGCGUGAGUGAUGAAGGCUUUCGGGUCGUAAAGCUCUGUCAAGUGGGAAGAAAUCCCGGGAAGUGAACAGUUUUUCGGGUUGACGGUACCACUGAAGGAAGCACCGGCUAACUCCGUGCCAGCAGCCGCGGUAAUACGGAGGGUGCGAGCGUUAUUCGGAAUUACUGGGCGUAAAGGGCGCGCAGGCGGUCAUGUAAGUCAGAUGUGAAAGCCCGGGGCUUAACCCUGGAAGUGCAUUUGAAACUGUGUGACUUGAGUAUGGGAGAGGGAAGCGGAAUUCCUGGUGUAGCGGUGAAAUGCGUAGAUAUCAGGAGGAACACCCGUGGCGAAGGCGGCUUCCUGGACCAAUACUGACGCUGAGGCGCGAAGGCGUGGGGAGCAAACAGGAUUAGAUACCCUGGUAGUCCACGCAGUAAAC
rnacentral:rRNA from 1 species